CUAAGGUACCGUGGCGAAGUGCACGAUGCCAUGAGUUCGUAGACUGGUAGCACGUCGAAAACGGAGCUACGGUUUGAAAGUUAUGGACGAAACAAGUUGCGGUCCAAAUUGUCCAAGGGGUGCCGGAGUUGACUUUUUAUUCAUGCAAGGUUGAGCGUUGACUCAUGCAUGGUUGUGAAGUGCUCAUCGAUACGAGUCUGUAGACUAGCGGUACGUCCGAUUUGGACAUGUGGUUUGAAAGUUAUGGAUCUGUAAAGUUUUUCAAAUACCGUAUUAUUUUAAUAUUAUUUUUACACACAUAACGAUGUGGCACGUGUGACUCAAUGAAGGUGGCCAUGUGUCACCAUGAUGAAAAGCCACAUGUCAACCAUGUUUAAAAAUCAAAUUAUUUUUAUUAUUAUUUUAAAUAAUAAUAUUUUUUUUUAUUUAAUUAUUAUUAUUUUUCCUUUUUCCUUUUUCUUUUUCUUUUCCUUUUUCUUUUCUUUUUCUUUUUCUUUUUCUUUUCUUUUCCCCACGUGGGAAAACACCAAUCCUUUCUUUUUCUUUUUCUUUUUCUUUUUUUUUCUUUUUUCCUUCUUCUUCCCCGAAAUACACACACACACGCAGCUUUUCUUUCUUCUCUCCCGACCGUCCCUCUCUCUCCCGUGUUUUUGAAUUCCGGCCACCCAUAGCCCUCACGCGCCAGCCACCAAGGAAGCCCGCCACCUCGCGAGCUUGGCCGCCAAGUUUCACGGCCAGCCGCCGCCGGACGCGCGCCGAUCGGGCCGGAGAAGCCGCCGGCCGGCCAAGUUUCUCUCUCCUCUUUUCUUGUGUUUUCCGGCCAGCCCACUCCCAAUUGAGCCUCCUAUCCCCCUAUUUUGGGUCCUCUGAAUCCAAAAAUGGCCUCCAAUCUCAAAAAUUCGAAGCGGUUUGCGAGAUAUGGAGAAGUGAACACCGGCCGAACCUUUCCGGCCAAAUUCCGGCCACCCCCGGCGGAAUUGGGGUCGACGGAGACCGGAUUGGUGAUCCUCGUUCCACGAGCUUCGAUUCGGAACACUGGUGAGUCGUAGAAUUGAUCCCGUAGUGGAUCAUGGGUUAAUUGCGUGCUCCAGGUUCCAGGUUGUCGGUGUUCAUUCGGAUCGGACUUGAUCUUCCUCGCUGUUUUACUUCGUGAAGUACCCUGUUCUUCUUUAUUGCGGUUGUACUAUUUCUUUCAUUCUUGUUGUAUUUAUUUUGCACUGGAUUACUGUAUUUUUGUUUUGAAGUGCUGGAAUUUGUGGAACCAAUUUGUAGUUUGUGGGAGGAAUAAGGGGAUAUUUUUGAAGUGUGUUUUCAGUGCAGGUAAAUUUGUGGUAAGUAAAUCCCUUAGGGGAGGUGCUGCCGGAUUUUCCGUUGGAAGGUUCGGUGGUAUUUUCCUGGGAUCAGGGCUGUCUAGGGUUCCGGAGGAGGAAUUCUGGACGGGUCCUGACAAU